AUUGAACGCUGGCGGCAGGCUUAACACAUGCAAGUCGAACGAGUGGCGGACGGGUGAGUAAUGCUUGGGACUCUCGCUUAUGGAGGGGGAUAACUACGGGAAACUGUAGCUAAUACCGCGUACCAUAGGAUGAGCCCAAAGGGGCUUAGUGAGUUGGUGAGGUAAAGGCGCACCAAGCCGACGAUCUCGAGCUGGUCGGAGGGGAUGACCAGCCACAUUGGGACUGGGACACGGCCCAGACUCCUACGGUGGGCAGCAGUGGGGAAUAUUGCGAAAUGGGGGCAACCUGACGGAGCCAGGCCGCGUGAAUGAAGAGGGCCUUCGGGUUGUAAAGUUCUUUCGGUAGCGAGGCGUUAACUACAGAAGAAGCACCGGCUAACUCCGUGCCAGCAGCCGCGGUAAUUC
rnacentral:rRNA from 1 species